UACGUAGGUGGCAAGCGUUGUUCGGAAUUACUGGGCGUAAAGCGUGCGCAGGCGGUUUGCUAAGACAGGUGUGAAAUCCCCGGGCUUAACCUGGGAACUGCGCUUGUAACUGGCAAGCUUGAGUGUGGCAGAGGGGGGUGGAAUUCCACGUGUAGCAGUGAAAUGCGUAGAGAUGUGGAGGAACACCGAUGGCGAAGGCAGCCCCCUGGGCUAACACUGACGCUCAUGCACGAAAGCGUGGGGAGCAAACGGG
rnacentral:rRNA from 1 species